UACGUAGGGUGCGAGCGUUGUCCGGAAUUAUUGGGCGUAAAGAGCUCGUAGGCGGUUUGUCGCGUCGGCCGUGAAAUCUCCACGCUUAACGUGGAGCGUGCGGUCGAUACGGGCAGACUUGGAGUUCGGCAGGGGAGACUGGAAUUCCUGGUGUAGCGGUGAAAUGCGCAGAUAUCAGGAGGAACACCGAUGGCGAAGGCAGGUCUCUGGGCCACUACUGACGCUGAGAAGCGAAAGCAUGGGGAGCGAACAGGG
rnacentral:rRNA from 1 species